ACUGAACUCCUGGCCUUGAGCAUGCCAGGAGUGCUCCACCCCCAGGCCUGCUUUCUGCCUGUUGCAAUUUUGGUUUGGGAAGCCUUUACCUAGUGACCUGUAUCUCUUUAACCUAAGUGCCAUUCCAUGGUUCAGGGCUGCAUCCCCUGUCACCUGGACACCUACGGCAGCCUAUUCACAGGUCUCCCCAUCCCCAGCCAGCCUUACUUUCCUUCCCUUUUCUCUACAUCAUGACCAGAGUCACCCUUCUACAAUAGAGAGUCACCGUGUCACUCCAGCAGCUCCCCCACCCCGCUGCCUCAGGAUAAACGAUAAAUCUCUGAACAAGAAUGUCUUCUGAUCAACCUGUGAUGCCACCAUGCUCCCUUCUUCCCAGGCUCUGUGCCUCAAGACCCUGACCCUCACCCAUGGGUCCACGGGCCAUGAGUAUCGAGGGACCCCAGCCAAGGAAGCCCAGCACCAGGGAGGAAGGAGAGGGCGGCCACCUUUGUCUCCCCAGUCCCAGGUGGUGGUGGUCACUUUUGUCAGGCUUUUGAGUGAUCGGGUUCCAUUCUACAGAAAGGGGAAGCAAGGCUGCCAGAGGCUGGAUGCCUUGAACAAGGGGGUGUGGAUCCACUUCCUGCAGGAAGCUGCCCAGUUUAAAGGUCUGGAGCCAUCUAAUCUGCCUGCUAGCAGCCACCCGAUGUCCUGGGAGCCUCUACCUGCAAAUAACUUGAAGGACAAGAGUGACAACUGCCGUGUGCUGUGCACCAUCUACUUUCAGCUGGAAGUGUCCAUCCCGUUUCAUCUCUUCAUUCCUGUGGACGAUCCUUGGGCACAGGGUUAAUCCAGGAGGAGGAUUUAGUAACAAGGUUGCCUGGCCUCUGGGCCUGGGCGGGAGAGCUGUUGUUCCAGCCCUGUCCCUCAGCCACACUGAUCAGAGUGGGGCUCCGAGCUUCAUUUGGGAGACAGAGCAGCAGUCACCCUGAAUCUCACCCUGCAGACUCUGGGGGUUCAGAGGUUGGGAGGGCAGAGCUGCAGGCCCAGGCAGCAAGAGUAGGUGGAGACUUCGCAGCAGCUGCAGCAAAAGGGAAGGACUGGCCGAGAGUGCUGCACUCUGUGCUCCCAGACAUCUGGAGGAAACUUUGGGCAUGCGCAGGACCUCAAGCCUGGCAGCCAGCUGUGAAGGCCGGUGCCCAUGAGACACUCAGCUCAUGUCAUUUCUCCCAUCCGACAGGGGAGUCCACCUGCCCAGCCCCACCUGGAGUCCUUUCACUUCGCCUUGCAGCAGGAAAGUGCCCAGAGAUGUUAGCCAAGGCCACAGUUGGCCAUUGCUGCCCUAGAGGCUUAUACGUGGGUCUUGGACUCCAGGGACACCGGUGAGGUCACUGGGCCUCAGAGGCUGGAGUUGGGGGCACCAGUGUGCCCCAUGGUGAUGUCUGAAGAACGCAUCCCAUCCCAUGAGUCCUUUCGCAGGGCAGGCGCUGGGCUCUGAAAGCUGCCCUCACAAAGAUGCCUGCAGCUCCCACUCUUUCCAGAGGAGCCAUCAGCCCUCGGCUAGGAGGGCAAAGGUCACUGUGCUGAGAGAAUGACCUCUUUCUCUCAGAAAGCUGCUGCUUUCAGAGCUGUGGCCACCCCAGCCUGGCCAUCACGCAGGCCUGCACCAAGAAAUAAAAGGUUCUCACAGCCGGGUAGGCGCUGUGACACAGUUUAAUUUGCUGUAA
ensembl:lncRNA